GGCGGAGGGUGCAAGCGUUGUUCGGAUUGACUGGGCGUAAAGGGCGUGUAGGCGGUCGGCCAAGUCUGAUGUGAAAGCCCGAGGCUCAGCCUCGGAAGUGCGUCGGAAACUAGUCGGCUGGAGCGCGAUAGAGGAGGGUGGAAUUCCUGGUGUAGCGGUGAAAUGCGUAGAUAUCAGGAGGAACACCUGCGGUGUAGACGGCUUUCUGGACCAUUGCUGACGCUGAGACACGAAAGCGUGGGUAGCAAACAGG
rnacentral:rRNA from 1 species